rnacentral:rRNA from 1 species
AUUGAACGCUGGCGGAAUGCUUUACACAUGCAAGUCGAACGGCAGCACGGACUUCGGUCUGGUGGCGAGUGGCGAACGGGUGAGUAAUGUAUCGGAACGUGCCCAGUCGUGGGGGAUAACGUAGUGAAAAUUACGCUAAUACCGCAUACGAUCUAUGGAUGAAAGCGGGGGAUCGCAAGACCUCGCGCGAUUGGAGCGGCCGAUAUCAGAUUAGGUAGUUGGUGGGGUAAAGGCCCACCAAGCCAACGAUCUGUAGCUGGUCUGAGAGGACGACCGGCGACACGGGAACUGAGACCCGGUCCAGACUCCUACGGGAGGCAGCAGUGGGGAAUUUUGGAGAAUGGGCGAAAGCCUGGUCCAGCCAUUCCGCGUGCAGGAUGAAGGGCCUCGGGUUGUAAACUGCUUUUGUAAAGAACGAAAAGGUUUCUACUAAUACUAGGAGCUCAUGACGGUACUGUAAGAAUAAGCACCGGCUAACUACGUGCCAGCCGCCGCAGUAA